CAGGCUCUUGAGAGCCUCUUGUUAUUACUUGUCACAGAAUGUUUUAGGGACCAUUUGAUUUCAAAAUGGCCAGAAUUUAAUUUUUCAAAGACAUACAUCACUAUAAAAUUAGUUGAAAGUCUCACAAUUUUUGAAAAAAGAUGGUUCAAAAUGGAUAUAAAUUUUAUAAACAUGUAGAUUGAAGAAUACAUGAAAAUCGUUAUAAAUUAUUCAUAUUAUUUAUCUACUAGCGUACAAGGGUAAAUGAAUAGGAAUUGGAAAGAUGAUGUGUGGCAUUAUCUUAUUUGAUAUUGGCAGUGUUCUCCCCAGUAUGUUAAAAUAACACUGUAAGGAUUGAAAUUAAUAGGAGGUAGAACUUCAUUUUUAAUGCAAUCUUUUGUCAAUCUCUUCAGAUAGCACCAUGGUGCUAUAAGGUCUGGUGAAAACUAGCUAUUUUAUGUUUUGACUUCCAAUGAUAUUACCCGAGUUUAAAGUUGAACAAAGUUUUUUUAUUUAUUUGUUUGUCUUGACAACAUUAAUUUUGCAGCUUGAACAUCAUUCCAUAGUUUUUAAAUCUCCAUCAUUCCAUUUUAAAAUUUCUGAAAGCCAUUUAGAACAUUUACAGUGGAAAAUUUAGUUGUGUUGGGG
rnacentral:lncRNA from 1 species